rnacentral:sRNA from 1 species
CCCUAGCCCUGAUUGUAAUGAAAAUCCUUUUUUGAAAAAAAAGAUUGUAAUGAAAAGCAGGAAAAGCU